AUAUUAUUUAAAUUUGUGUCUUAUUUUUACUGAGAUGAAAAAUUAACCAAAAUUUAUAUUGAAAUUCAGAGAGCAGGUUAGUGCACUUUCUGCGGUUGGCUCCCAUGCUGUCUGCUCCAGCAUGUACUGCAACCUCUGUGACCAUGCAGAGAUGGGGACUAAAAGUGCUGCUGUAGAGACUCUCUCAUGACACAGAGCAUCUCCUGCCACUGAAGAGGAACCACUGGAUGUCACUGUUGCACCAUGCAGGUGGGAGCAAAUGUCAGACCCACUGAAGAGGACUGAAGAAGGCAGCUUCCAGCGAGGAGCAGUGCAUCUGUGCAAAAAGAUUAUAAUCCCCAGUGAAGUGGGACUUACCCAAUCAAGUGUUCCAUGUGUCAGGCUCUGAUGGCCUGCUCCCCUGAAGUCCUCUGUUACAGCAGAGCACUGUGCUGGCCUUCAUAGUCCACUUCUGGAGAUUAUGUUUUGGUUGCCCAGGCAAUGAUCAGGUAGGAGGACUGUUUUUCUGACUGGAUGUCCUGUGUUCAGGUUAUGGCCAUACUUCUGCUAAGCACUUACAGUUUUGUGCAUACUCUACUCUGGUAAGUUCCCCAUAUUUGUUUUUAACCAUCCCUGGCUGUCCUUUCUGAUACACUGGUGUUCCCCCUUGGGCAGUUCACUGACUGAAGCAGUGCUGGCAGCCUGUCUGUUAACUUGAGAAUUUCACUGCAGUGCACAGCAAAUGGCUAUUGGCUAGUCUAGUAGGCAGUAGGAGCAGUGUGGCUCAGUGAUACAGUACUAGUACCCCUCAUGAUUAUAUUAAUUUCUUUCCUAAGAUGCAAUUUUACUCUAUUUCCAUCUACCAUUUUACUCCAAAGCCUUGAGUUCAUCUUAAAAAGCAUU
rnacentral:lncRNA from 1 species